UUAAAUUGAAGAGUUUGAUCAUGGCUCAGAUUGAACGCUGGCGGCAGGCCUAACACAUGCAAGUCGAACGGUAACAGGAAACAGCUUGCUGUUUCGCUGACGAGUGGCGGACGGGUGAGUAAUGUCUGGGAAACUGCCUGAUGGAGGGGGAUAACUACUGGAAACGGUAGCUAAUACCGCAUAACGUCGCAAGACCAAAGAGGGGGACCUUCGGGCCUCUUGCCAUCAGAU
rnacentral:rRNA from 1 species